CCUACGGGUGGCUGCAGUGGGGAAUAUUGCACAAUGGGGGGAACCCUGAUGCAGCGACGCCGCGUGAGUGAAGACGUAUCUCGGUACGUAAAGCUCUAUCAGCAGGGAAGAAAAUGACGGUACCUGACUAAGAAGCUCCGGCUAACUACGUGCCAGCAGCCGCGGUAAUACGUAGGGGGCAAGCGUUAUCCGGAUUUACUGGGUGUAAAGGGAGCGUAGGCGGGACUGCAAGUCCGGAGUGAAAUCCCAAGGCUUAACCAUGGGACUGCUCUGGAAACUGUGGAGCUUGAGUGAGGGAGGGGCAGGCGGAAUUCCUAGUGUAGCGGUGAAAUGCGUAGAUAUUAGGAGGAACACCAGCGGCGAAGGCGGCCUGCUGGACCGUAACUGACGUUGAGGCUCGAAAGCGUGGGGAGCAAACAGGAUUAGAUACCCGAGUAGUC
rnacentral:rRNA from 1 species